rnacentral:rRNA from 1 species
AUGGAUGAUAGUAGCUCCAGCAAGAGAAAACCUGAAGCGCAGUGAGAGGGCGAGAGCAGUGCCAAGAGGCUCAAUGUCACCGUGGGGCUGGAGUCGCUUGACUGCCCCAUCUGCUCCGAGCCCCUCAGGCCUCCGAUAUUCCAGUGCUCCGUGGGACAUUUCAUAUGCAAGGAUUGCUGCGCGGAACGAUUGAACAACAAGUGCCACUUAUGCUCUGUAGAAACUUCAUUCGAGCGCUGCUUUGGGAUGGAACAUGUCGUCCAGUCGGUCAAAGUAGGUUGCUCCAAUGACAAGUAUGGAUGUGUGGAGAAGGUCACCUACUACAAGAAAGAAGAACACAAGAAGGCAUGCCCGUAUGCUCCAUGUUUCUGCCCAGAGUCGGGUUGUGGCUUCGCUGGACCAACAAAGGUGCUCCUGGACCAUUUCACCACCCAGCACAAGUGUCCGUCGACAACCCUCCCAGACUCUGGCAUGCUGUCUCUCUGCUUACAGCCGGGCUUACAUGUUGUGAAGUGCACCGGGAACAACUACUUUUUCUUGCUCAGCAUGGCAUCAGAGCCUUACGGACAUGCCAUCUCAGUCGUCUGCGUCCAACCAAACAUGACAGAAUCCAAGUUCACAUGUAAUAUGAGUUAUGACUGCAUAACGACCGGCUGUUGUGGAAGUGCAAGCUGCCACAUAAGAAGCUCUUCACUCUCUGAUGGGCUUCCGACAGUGCAUGACUUAAUACUUCCCAAGGGAAAGGUUUCUGAUGAUGCACACGGUAUCAUGCUUAGAGCCAGCAUUCAUCAUCAAUCUUUAAGCCUCGGCAGAUCUUGUUUUCAAGGAAAUGGCCCGACUCCUGCUCUUAACCAAACACCCGAUACUUACCAUGAUGGUGAUCGUGCUGAGGAGGAUAAUAUACCUUUAAGUCUCAGCAGAUCCCGUCUUCGAGGAAAGACCCCGACUCCUGCUGUUCAACGAAGGCUCAUUACUUAUGAUGAUGAUGAUGAGGAUGAGGAUGAGGAUGAAUGGUUCGCGAGGAUGAUGAUGCGCAGCAUGAGGGUAUCUGAUUAUAGACCUCUAAGUCUCAGCAGACCUCAAAGUAUCUGUCUUGAUACUGUUGAUGAGGAGGAUGAAAUACCUUGA